AUCGCUCUUUGUGGAUGCUUGAAAAUCCUUAUAAAGUAAACAUAAACAAUCAGAGAAAUCAUGAAAGUUAAUUCAAUUAAUGAUGUUUCACUUCAAGUUCAUUUGAUCACAUACAGUAUCUCAGUGUUACCUAACUUCUCUUUUUUUCAGAUUUGAAAGACAUCUCGACAAACAGAGCAGUGCACAAUCUAAUCCAGCGAACACAAACCUCAUUGAUUUGGGAACUUCCAACCAAAUAAAGGCAACAAAUGGUGCUCAUAGCGCAGUCAGCCAAUCGACAGUCACCACGCUAUCCAAUCAGAUGGCAGGAUUGAGCACAAAAGCUGAUGACUUAAAACAAAAUAAAAGCAG